GCGAACGCUAGCGGCGGGCCUAACACAUGCAAGUCGAGCGCAUACCUUCGGGUAUGAGCGGCGGACGGGUGAGUAACACGUAGGUAAUCUGCCCUAUGGUGGGGGAUAACCCGGGGAAACCCGAGCUAAUACCGCAUACGGCCUUCGGGUCAAAGCCUUCGGGCGCCAAAGGAUGAGCCUGCGUCGCAUUACCUAGUUGGUGGGGUAAAAGCCUACCAAGGGGACGAUGCGUAGCUGGUCUGAGAGGAUGAUCAGCCACACUGGGACUGAGACACGGCCCAGACUCCUACGGGAGGCAGCAGUGGGGAAUAUUGCGCAAUGGGCGAAAGCCUGACGCAGCUACGCCGCGUGGGUGAUGAAGGCCUUCGGGUUGUAAAGCCCUGUCGGGAGGGACGAAGUUCUGACGGUACCUCCCAAGAAAGCACCGGCUAACUCCGU
rnacentral:rRNA from 1 species